rnacentral:rRNA from 1 species
AAUAUUCCGGUCUCGUGGGCUCGGAGAUGUGUAUAAGAGACAGAUCGUGGGCGCAGGAAAUUUGCGGGGAUCUGACACUAGUACGAGAGGACCGUGUUGGACAGACCUCUGGUUUGCCGGUUGUGCCGCCAGGUGCACCGCCGGGUAUCUAAGUCUGGAUCGGAUAAGUGCUGAAAGCAUCUAAGUACGAAGCCGGCCACAAGAUUAGAUUUCUUAGGGUCGUCAAAGACUAUGACGUUGAUAGGAUGCAGGUGUAAAGCUGGAGACAGCAAAGCCGAGCAUUACUAAUUGCCCGUCAACUUUUGUUG